CCUACGGGGGGCAGCAGUAGGGAAUCUUUCACAAUGGGCGAAAGCCUGAUGGAGCAACGCCGCGUGCAGGAUGAAGGCCUUCGGGUUGUAAACUGCUUUUAUAAGCGAGCAAUAUGAUGGUAACUUAUGAAUAAGGAUCGGCUAACUACGUGCCAGCAGCCGCCGUCAUACGUAGGAUCCGAGCAUUAUCCGGAGUGACUGGGUGUAAAGAGUUGCGUAGGUGGCAUAAUAAGUAGCUAGUGAAAUCUGGUGGCUCAACCAUUCAGACUAUUAGCUAAACUGUUAAGCUCGAGACCGUUAGGGGUAACUGGAAUGUCUAGUGUAGGAGUGAAAUCCGUAGAUAUUAGAAGGAACACCAAUAGCGUAGGCAGGUUGCUGGGACGGUUCUGACACUAAGGCACGAAAGCGUAGGGAGCAAACGGGAUUAGAUACCCUGGUAGUC
rnacentral:rRNA from 1 species